rnacentral:rRNA from 1 species
CGACCGGCGCACGGGUGAGUAACACGUAUCCAACCUGCCGUCUACUCUUGGCCAGCCUUCUGAAAGGAAGAUUAAUCCAGGAUGGGAUCAUGAGUUCACAUGUCCGCAUGAUUAAAGGUAUUUUCCGGUAGACGAUGGGGAUGCGUUCCAUUAGAUAGUAGGCGGGGUAACGGCCCACCUAGUCUUCGAUGGGUAGGGGUUCUGAGAGGAAGGUCCCCCACAUUGGAACUGAGACACGGUCCAA